AACGAACGCUGGCGGCAUGCCUAACACAUGCCAGUCGAACGAGACCUUCGGGUCUAGUGGCGCACGGGUGCGUAACGCGUGGGAACCUGCCCUUGGGUUCGGAAUAACUCCCCGAAAGGGGUGCUAAUACCGGAUAAUGUCUUCGGACCAAAGAUUUAUCGCCUUUGGAUGGGCCCGCGUUGGAUUAGCUAGUUGGUAGGGUAAAAGCCUACCAAGGCGACGAUCCAUAGCUGGUCUGAGAGGAUGAUCAGCCACACUGGGACUGAGACACGGCCCAGACUCCUACGGGAGGCAGCAGUGGGGAAUAUUGGACAAUGGGCGAAAGCCUGAUCCAGCAAUGCCGCGUGAGUGAUGAAGGCCUUAGGGUUGUAAAGCUCUUUUACCCGGGAUGAUAAUGACAGUACCGGGAGAAUAAGCGCCGGCUAACUCCGUG
rnacentral:rRNA from 1 species